rnacentral:rRNA from 1 species
CGUGUAGGCGGCCUGCUAAGUCUGAUGUGAAAGCCCGAGGCUCACCCUCGGAAGUGCAUUGGAAACUGGCAGACUGGAGUCCCGGAGAGGAGGGUGGAAUUCCUGGUGUAGCGGUGAAAUGCGUAGAUAUCAGGAGGAACACCGGUGGCGAAGGCGGCCCUCUGGACGGUGACUGACGCUGAGACGCGAAAGCGUGGGAGCAAACA